UACGGAGGAGGCAAGCGUUAUCCGGAAUUAUUGGGCGUAAAGCGUCCGCAGGUGGCUAUGUAAGUCUGCUGUUAAAGAGUGAGGCUCAACCUCAUAAGAGCAGUGGAAACUACAUAGCUAGAGUGCGUUCGGGGCAGAGGGAAUUCCUGGUGUAGCGGUGAAAUGCGUAGAUAUCAGGAAGAACACCGGUGGCGAAAGCGCUCUGCUAGGCCGCAACUGACACUGAGGGACGAAAGCUAGGGGAGCGAAUGGG
rnacentral:rRNA from 1 species